CUGCGCUCUGACGCCCACAGUGACAGGAAACACAACUACACUGUACAAAAAGCACUACACAUGACUGGAGCACA